rnacentral:rRNA from 1 species
UACGGGGGGGGCAAGCGUUGUUCGGAAUUACGGGGCGUAAAGGGCUCGUAGGCGGCCAACUAAGUCGGACGUGAAAUCCCUCGGCUUAACCGGGGAACUGCGUCCGAUACUGGAUGGCUUGAGUUUGGGAGAGGGAUGCGGAAUUCCAGGUGUAGCGGUGAAAUGCGCAGAUAUCGGGAGGAACACCGGUGGCGAAGGCGGUUCUCUGGGCCUUACCUGACGCUGAGGAGCGAAAGCGUGGGGAGCGAACAGG